rnacentral:lncRNA from 1 species
GUUCACUGAAUAGCAAGACCUGUCCAAAGUGCCCUAACCAGGGGCUGUAGGCAAAAGGAUGCCCCACGAUAAUGGGCUUCUCAACUGCGAGGUCACAUGAACAGGAAUGAACAGGCAAGUGCUUGCUGGGGGACCAUUCUUCCCAGCCAGGAGGAGGGGGCUGCUGGGGAGGGACUUUCUCCCUGAUUCUCGGGUUGUGGGUGGAGCUUCCGUGCUGACCACCACGCUGGGGGACUGGUCUUGUCCCUGAGAGCUGGGGGAAUAAUACAAAUUGG